rnacentral:rRNA from 1 species
UAGGGAAUAUUAGUAAUGGGCGAAAGCCUGAACUAGCAACACCGCGUGUGCGAAGAAGGCCUUCGGGUUGUAAAGCACUUUUUGGAAGGAUUAGGAAGGAAUGUACUUCCAGAAUAAGUCUCGGCUAACUACGUGCCAGCAGCCGCGGUAACACGUAGGAGGCAAACGUUAUCCGGAUUUACUGGGCGUAAAGCGCGUGUAGGUGGUUCUGUAAGUAGGGCGUGAAAGCUCCUGGCUCAACUGGGAGAGGCCGUUCUAAACUGCAGAGCUAGAGGAUGGUGGAGGGAGGUGGAAUUCCGGGUGUAGCGGUGGAAUGCGCAGAUAUCCGGAGGAACACCAGUGGCGAAAGCGGCCUCCUGGACCAUUCCUGACACUCAGACGCGAAAGCUAGGGUAGCAAACG